GGUUGUGCUUCCUAUUGAACUCCAUGCAGUGAUAUUCCUCGCUUCUUAUCGUGGUUUGCCGCCGUUGCUACUACUGCUGUGCAGCAUGUGCCCUGGCUGCGAUGAAUCCGUUAUGCCACUGCACAUAUUUUCCCGUCGCUGGAAUCCAGGAAUCGUUUGCAUUGUGCUGCGGUAAGGGUCAUGGUUUUCUCUGUUUUUGCUGAGAAACUCAUGUUCAUCAUGUCCCCUCCUUGUUGUGACCUUUCAAGGAAAUACCAUGCUGCUGCAGUGCUUCAUGGAGGCCA